CUCAUGAGUCUUAAAACCAAAAACAAAACAGCCAUUAGGUGACAAGCAUAUUUUUUUCAAGAUACCCUCUCCAUUUUUCUUUAGUCUUCUCAGUGAUGCUGGAGAAUAAGCCUGGCUCGGUCAAAGCAUCCCCCCGGCCAUCAGCAGAGAACCAAGCCUUGCAAAUAUCCUUCAUUUCAGGAAUGCACAGAGGAGCGCGGCCAAUCCCUCGCCGCGAGACACGGCUUCGUUUGCCGUUUCACCAACGGCCAGCAGACGGCGCCCGACUCUCCUUGGGAUCAACUGGCGUCUCAACAGUUGAGGGAAACUCGUGCUCAGCAAUGCUUACACCACCCUCCCAUGGCGCUUAGCAGACAACAAGGAUGUGCUGGUGUCAGAAGCCUCACUGGGAUGGUGGUGAGUCGCUCAUCUGGGCUGAGCAGUGGUCCAGACCGAGGCAGAGGAACUGCCCUUGUUACAGAGGGCGGGCCCACCUGGAAUGCGAGCUGUGACUGUCUCCUAAGGUCUCUCCAGGCUGCAUCCAGAUGGAAAAUCCCAGGGGCGCCCCCACCCUGAAGGCCAGUCGCUGGCAGCAAGGAUGGGCUCCCGCAGGAUGUCACGAAGAGCAGUGUUAGGGAGGGCACGGGGUCCUCUGGCCUGAAGACCUCCCUGCAGGCACUGACUUUAUGCUCCGAGGAAGGAACCGAGGGCACCUGUCCAGGAUGGAGCCCUGUCCUCCGUGUCCUUAUCUCCCACCAGCAAGGAAAUUGGCCGCCCAGAACCUUGCUCUGUCUCUCCACCUCAUUUUCCCAAGUGCGGUGGGACUGCAAGGGGAACGUCUUCACCACUGACAGCUCGGGGUCCUUUUGCCCUGUGAUCAGGCCAUCCAGCCAGUGUGAAGAUUGUGUGGGGCAGGAGUCCCUCCCUGAAGGUACACUGUCAGUGGGGAGACCUCAUCCUCAAGAUCAAGAUAAGCCCCAGAUGAUACAGGUACUUCCUUGGACCCUGGCCUGAUUCUAGGACCUGAGCCGUUAGCCCAGGACCCAGCGAUGCAUCUGAGCUGCACUGGAUCUUGUUCCUGUUGCGGACAGCCUUGUGGGGCGGGGAUGGCUGGGAGACGAGCCCUGGGCACAGGUCUAAUGCUGUGUCCCCAGCUCUGAGGGAAGUCCCCACUAGUGGCUGGAAGAUCACCCGAUCUUUGUGGGGGCAGGUUGAGAUCUUUGUGAAGCUGCCAGUGUACCGCGUUUCUCCCCUCUCCGUCUUGCUAAAAAGAGUCUCCUGCCCCCUUGUAGGGAGAGG
rnacentral:lncRNA from 1 species